GGAAGUGAGUAGGGUCCGGUGACUCUCCUGGCCUUCAAAGCCUGUGGGGCGUCGGGGAACCGGCGUCCGGUGGGUUCGACUCCCACGCACUUCC
rfam:Acidobacteria bacterium 13_1_40CM_2_56_5 13_1_40cm_2_scaffold_1575, whole genome shotgun sequence.